rnacentral:siRNA from 1 species
CUGCUGCAAUACACUCAUGUGG